UACGUAGGUGGCAAGCGUUGUCCGGAUUUACUGGGCGUAAAGAGCGCGCAGGCGGUUGUAUAAGUCGAAUGUGAAAGCCCCCGGCUCAACUGGGGAGGGUCAUUCGAUACUGUUCGACUCGAAGGCAGGAGAGGGAAGUGGAAUUCCGGGUGUAGUGGUGAAAUGCGUAGAUAUCCGGAGGAACACCAGUGGCGAAGGCGGGUCUCUGGGCAACAACUGACGCUGAGGAGCGAAAGCGUGGGGAGCGAACAGG
rnacentral:rRNA from 1 species